UACGUAGGGGGCAAGCGUUGUCCGGAAUCAUUGGGCGUAAAGCGCGUGUAGGCGGCUUGGUAAGUCCGCUCUGAAAGCCCGGGGCUCAACCCCGGGAGGCGGGUGGAUACUGUCAAGCUCGAGUCCGGAAGAGGCGAGUGGAAUUCCUGGUGUAGCGGUGAAAUGCGUAGAUAUCAGGAGGAACACCGGUGGUGUAGACGGCUCUCUGGACCGUAACUGACGCUGAGACACGAAAGCGUGGGUAGCAAACAGG
rnacentral:rRNA from 1 species